rnacentral:rRNA from 1 species
UACGGGGGGGGUAAGCGUUGUUCGGAAUUACUGGGCGUAAAGGGCGCGUAGGCGGCAUGACAAGUCACUUGUGAAAUCUCCGGGCUUAACUCGGAACGGUCAAGUGAUACUGUCGCGCUAGAGUGCGGAAGGGGCAAUCAGAAUUCUUGGUGUAGCGGUGAAAUGCGUAGAUAUCAAGAGGAAUACCUGAGGUGAAGACGGGUUGCUAGGCCGACACUGACGCUGAAGCGCGAAAGCCAGGGGAGCAAACGGG